rnacentral:rRNA from 1 species
CCCGCAGGCGGUCAAUUAAGUCAGAGGUGAAAUACCAUAGCUCAACUAUGGAACUGCCUUUGAUACUGGUUGACUUGAGUCAUAUGGAAGUAGAUAGAAUGUGUAGUGUAGCGGUGAAAUGCAUAGAUAUUACACAGAAUACCGAUUGCGAAGGCAGUCUACUACGUAUGUACUGACGCUGAGGGACGAAAGCGUGGGGAGCGAACAGGAUUAGAUACCCUGGUAGUCC